GACGGAAAGACCCCAUGGAGCUUUACUGUAGCUUGACAUUGGGUCUUGGUACUACAUGUACAGGAUAGGUGGGAGGCUUUGAAACCAGGACGCCAGUUUUGGAGGAGCCAUCCUUGGGAUACCACCCUUGUAGUACUGGGACUCUAACCAUAGACCAUGAAUCUGGUCUUGGGACACUGUCAGGUGGGCAGUUUGACUGGGGCGGUCGCCUCCCAAAAGG
rnacentral:rRNA from 1 species